rnacentral:rRNA from 1 species
AUUGAACGCUGGCGGCAGGCUUAACACAUGCAAGUCGAGCGAGCGGCGGACGUGUGAGUAAUGUCUGGGAAACCGACUGAUGGAGGGGGAUAACCUCUGGAAAGUGUAGCUAAUCCCACAUACCAUCAGAUGUGCCCAGAGGGGAUUAGCUAGGAGGUGGGGGAAGGGCACACCUAGGCGACGAUCCAUCGCUGGUCUGAGAGGAUGACCAGCCACACUGGAACUGAGACACGGUCCAGACUCCUACGGGAGGCAGCAGUGGGGAAUAUUGCACAAUGGGCGCAAGCCUGAUGCAGCCAUGCCGCGUGUGUGAAGAAGGCCUUCGGGGUGUAAAGCACUUUCAGCGAGGAGGCGUUACUCGCAGAAGAAGCACCGGCUAACUCCGUGCCAGCAGCCGCGGUAAUAC